GGGAGGCGCAGAUGAUCCUCCCAAAGUGGGCGUGUAGAUAGCGCGUUGUUUUGGCCGACACGUGUGGUCUGUGAAUC
rnacentral:ncRNA from 1 species